AAAUACAGUACAGCCAAAAACUUUCAAAUUUGAUGAAUCAACAGGUUUACCACACCAUUUAGAUUCAGGCAAUUCCCCAUUCAAGGGCACAGAAGGAGACCUAUUUAUCAAAUAAGCAGCUGUAAAGGUUUUUAAUUUAUUUUACAGUUCUCCCUAUUUCUUUCUAAUCCUCUUGUUCUUCUCCAGUUCUCCCAAUUUUUAUGUAUUGGUAUUGAUUCGAUCGAUUUUAUUUUACAAGCAAGCGUUGCUCAACCAACCACAACUCUUGGUUGGAACGCUUCCAUUGUUCUUUGUAUUAAUUUAUUUUCUUCCCAGACUCGUUCUCCAUUACCACUAUCCUUUGUUUAUAUUUGAGAGUUUUUCAUGUUUUUUCUAAUAAUUUGCUGCUCGAAUCUAUUAAAGCUGGGAUUUCAUUAGAUUUAAUUGAUACUGUGAUUCUACAAAUCCAUGGGCAUUUGAACAGUGAUUACUCUCAUUCAAUUUGAUUGAAAAUGGGUUCGUGGUGGGGAUCUUUCUUCUCUCCGGCGAAUACUUAUCGACGCCGCCUCCGUCGAUACGGAUAUAUAUUGAGUAGCUAUCUUAAGGGAAAUGAGAAUGUAGAAACGGCGUGCAUCCAGGUGUUGAACGAUGGUGCACGGGCCUACAAUUGCUGACUCUGACCGCAGCCCUCCGCUGCCGCCCUCAAACAGGUCUUCCGCCGCCGCCGCCGCCGCCGCCGCCGCUUCGUUCGAGGCCACCGCCCCAGCUGUCAGUAUCACUUUCCACCGCAUUUUUCGCCCAAUUGCAGACCACUGCCCCUUCUCGAUCACAUCCGACUUGGAUUACUCAGAUAUUGUCGGUGCCCACCCCUUCUCUCCAACCCAAUCUCACCUUUUCUCCAACCCGAUCUCACUCAUGGUACUCAUCCUAUUUUCUUUCUAAUCCUCUUGUUCUUCUCCAGUUCUCCCAAUUUUUAUGUAUUGGUAUUGAUUCGAUCGAUUUUAUUUUACAAGCAAGCGUUGCUCAACCAACCACAACUCUCGGUUGGAACGAUUCCAUUGUUCUUUGUAUUAAUUUAAUUUCUUCCCAGACUCGUCCGCCAUUACCACUGUCCUUUGUUUAUAUUUCAGAGUUUUUCAUGUUUUUUCUAAUAAUUUUUCGUACUUUGUAAAGUCUGUCUUCUCUUUCUUAUGAGCUUCCUUUUGCUUUAGUUUUUUUUUUGUGUGUGUGUGGAAUAGUUAAAUCUUGUUUAGUUUGAUGCAAGUGCUUUUGUUUGUCUUUCUGGAAUGAAAAUUCGGCACGAGUCAUUUGAGUAACAUAGAUGUUUUGUUCUAUAAAAUUACUCGAAGCAGCAGCUGAUGGGGAGAAGAAACUUGCCGAUGUGCUGUCCGGGGAGCAGGAACGAGGUAAGUGAGAAGUUAUAUGUGUGGAUGAUCAACUGCUUUGGCGUUUGUGCAGUAUGAUGUUAUUUUUUGAAAUAGGAUACAGGUGAGAAACUUUGUCUUCCUAUCGUAAAUUAUUUCUAUUUUUGUAAGCAUGCUCCUUAUCUCAUGUUUUGGGUUUUUGUUUCGGUUUUGGUUUUAGUUUAGGCGAUAUGUGAUUUGUAGAUUGGUUCAACUUCGGUGUUGUUUAGAAGCGAACAUAUGUUUUGGGCUCUGUGUUUCAUGUCUACUUAAAGUUACGCAAAAACAACUUCUGUUGGGUGCCAUAUAUGCCUUCUUUUUAAUAUGUAACUUGCAUAAAUACACGCUGGAAAUUAUUUUUAUUUUGUAA